rnacentral:lncRNA from 1 species
CGAAUCAAAAAGGCGCCUCGGCUGCAUCACUGGCACUCAACUCUUGUUAACGUAAACUUUUAGAGAGCAGAAUUCUGGAAAUCUGAAGACGGGGGUCGUCGUCUCGCAGUGACUUCCAUGGUGGCAGAAGGGAAAGGAGGAAGCUGGGAGCCCCACUGACAUAUGCCCCAAAACAGGGAGAGCUGU